rnacentral:tRNA from 6 species
GCCGGGGUGGCGGAACCGGUAGACGCGCGGGUCUCAAAAACCCGUGACCGCAAGGUCAUGAGAGUUCGAUUCUCUCCCCCGGCA